rnacentral:rRNA from 3 species
UGGAGAGUUUGAUCCUGGCUCAGAUUGAACGCUGGCGGCAGGCCUAACACAUGCAAGUCGAGCGGUAGAGAGAAGCUUGCUUCUCUUGAGAGCGGCGGACGGGUGAGUAAUGCCUAGGAAUCUGCCUGGUAGUGGGGGAUAACGUUCGGAAACGGACGCUAAUACCGCAUACGUCCUACGGGAGAAAGCAGGGGACCUUCGGGCCUUGCGCUAUCAGAUGAGCCUAGGUCGGAUUAGCUAGUUGGUGGGGUAAUGGCUCACCAAGGCGACGAUCCGUAACUGGUCUGAGAGGAUGAUCAGUCACACUGGAACUGAGACACGGUCCAGACUCCUACGGGAGGCAGCAGUGGGGAAUAUUGGACAAUGGGCGAAAGCCUGAUCCAGCCAUGCCGCGUGUGUGAAGAAGGUCUUCGGAUUGUAAAGCACUUUAAGUUGGGAGGAAGGGUUGUAGAUUAAUACUCUGCAAUUUUGACGUUACCGACAGAAUAAGCACCGGCUAACUCUGUGCCAGCAGCCGCGGUA